rnacentral:rRNA from 1 species
AUUGUAGGUUUGCAUGCAACAAGAUUAAGCCAUGCAUGUGUAAGUAUGAACAAAUUUAGACUGUGAAACUGCGAAUGGCUCAUUAAAUCAGUUAUAGUUUGUUUGAUGGUAUUUGCUACUCGGAUAACCAUAGUAAUUCUAAAGCUAAUACAUGCAACAAACCCCAGCUUCUGGAAGGGAUGCAUUUAUUACAUAAAAGGUCGAUGCGGGCUUUGACCGUUGCUCUGAUGAUUCAUGAUAACUCGACAGAUCGCACGACCUUUGUAUUGUGACGUAUCAUUCAAAUUUCUGCCCUAUCAACUAUCAAUGGUAGGAUAGUGGCCUACUAUGGUGGUGACGGGUGACGGAGAAUUAGGGUUCGAUUCCAAAGAGGGAGCUUGAGAAACGGCUACCACAUCCAAGGCAGUAAGCACGCAAAUUACCCAAUCUUGACAUGAGGAGGUAGUGACAAUAAAUAACAAUAUCGGGCUCUAUGAGUCUCGUAAUUAGAAUGAGUACAAUCUAAAUCCCUUAACGAUGAUCCAUUGGAGGGCAAGUCUGGUGCCAACAGCUGCGGUAAUUCCAUCUCUAAUAGCAUAUAUUUACGUUGUUACAAUUAAAAAGCUCGUAGCUGGACCUAGAGGUGGGUUGGCUAGUCCGCCUCACGGUGAGCAUCAAUCUGCUCGUCCCUACUACUAGCAAUGCGCUCCUAGCCUUAAUUGGUCGGGUCGUUUCUCCGGUGUUGUUACUUUGAAGAAAUUAGAGUGCUCAAAGUAGGCCUACGCUUGUAUACAUUAGCAUGAGAUAACAUCAUAGGAUUUCGAUCCUAUUGUGUUGGCCUUUGGGAUCAGAGUAAUGAUUAACAGGGAUAGUCAAGGCAUUCGUAUUUCAUAGUCAGAUGUGAAAUUCUUGGAUUUAUGAUAGACGAACAACUAUGAAAGCAUUUCCUAAGGAUGUUUUCAUUAAUCAAGAACGAAAGUUGAGGGCUCAAAGGCCAUCAAAUACUGUCCUAGUCUCAACCAUAAAUGAUACCGACUAGGGAUCGGUGGAUGUUGCUUUUAGGACUUCGCCGGUACCUUAUGAGAAAUCAAAGUCUUUGGGUUCUGAGAGGAGUAUGGUUUCAAGGUUGAAACUUAAAGGAAUUGACGAAAGGGCACCACUAGGAGUGGAGCCUGCGGCUUAAUUUGACUCAACACGGGGAAACUUACCAGGUCUAGACAUAGUAAGAAUUGACAGAUUGACAGCUCUUUUUUGAUUUUAUGGGUGAUGGUGCAUGGUCGUUCUUAGUUAGUGGAGCGAUUUGUCUGGUUAAUUCCAUUAACGAAUGAGACCUCAGCCUGCUAACUAGCUGCAUGGAGGUGAUCCCCCGUGGCUAGCUUCUUAGAGGGACUAUGGCCUUUUAGGCCAAGGAAGUUUGAGGCAAUAACAUGGAGGUGAUCCUUCGCAUGUGCGCUACACUGAUGUAUUCAACGAGUCUAUAGCCUUGGCCGAUAGGCUUAGGUAAUCUUUGAAAUUUCAUUGUGAUGGGCAUAGAUCAUUGUAAUUGUUGGUCUUCAACGAGGAAUUCCUAGUAAGUGUGAGUUAUCAGCUUGCGUUGACUAUGUCCCUUCCCUUUGUACACAUCGCCCGUCACUCUUACCAAUUGAAUGGUCUGGUAAAGUGUUCAGAUCAUGGCGACAUGGGCAGUUCACUGCCCGUGAUGAUGCGAGAAGUCCACUGAAUGUUAUCAUUUAUAAGAAGCAAAAGUCGUAACAAGGUUUCCGUCAGGUUCAAGGUUUCCG